UUCUGCCCCGUCCAGACUGGGCGAUGGAGCCCAUUCCCAGCAGCGACGGGUGACAAAAAGCCUCAUCAGGGUAUAUCCCUUCGUCCUGUCCCCGCGGCAGCCCCCGCCAUGUCGCCCUUAGGGGGCGCCCGUGGCGCGCGGGAGGGCGGUGCCGGUGGGGACACGGCAGGGCGGAGCCGCUCCUUAGCCCUGCCCCCAGCCCCGCCCCGCCCCGGUGGUGUCUGCAUCGGCCCGAUCGCUGCAGCCUCACCUUGGCAACGACAACAAUUAAUGCUACGCAGGGCCCCGCUCCCUCCCGCAGGAUCCCGGCAACUGCCCCCGGUGAGGUUGUUCGUGAUGGGCAAGAGCCGCCCGGACCUGCAGGGGUAGCGGGCACCUCGCGCUGCAAGGAUCUGCAGGUUUCAUUGUGCCUUCCCGCUACCUGCCACGCUCUAGAGCGUGCAAUGCCUCUGUUGGUGUCACUUCAGAAGGUGGUUUGUCCCCAGGGUAAAGGACGGAAGGUGAGGGAAAAGCUGUGCAGUGAUGCAGUGCUCGGGUGCGACGGGAACGCCGUGGGAUUUAAUGCCCAUCUCUGUGAUAAGUGCUGCAUUUUUCCUUCUGACCCUUUAAGGUCUGGCAAAUGUGGUGCCAGGACCCACCUCAGAACAGUACAGUUCUGUGGUCCAUGAUACUGCCCUCAGUGGCAAUGAAGUCUGGCAAGGAAUUGUCAUUGGCCGCUCUGCAUAAUAAGAGAGUUGCCGUCUUCAGAUGGAGCAGCUCCUCUUUCUCAGCUUGUUUUUGGAAAGGGAAGCACAUGCUGGUGUAUCUACUUAGGAUCUUAUUGUUCACAUAGAGUUUACACCUGGAUUUUAAAGCUUCAGUUUUGCAGGAUCUGCCACACACAGCAGGAAGCUGAAGAUCCUGCUGACAAAAAAUGAGGGGGUCAUUUACAGAUUGGCAGCUCUUUUGCUCCCUCCAAAAGCCCUGAGUUCAAGCAGUGAGAUAAUUUCUCAGAUUUCUCAGAUUUCUCACCAGGUUACUAAAUUUUUGAAUCCACUGGCAGAGACCUUCCUGGAUCAUGCUCUGUGAAGUGCUGGCUGGGAAAUUUAUUCUCCAGCAAAGGCACCCCUGAGCCCCUGCCUGGCUGGAUCAAAACCUCUGACCCAAUCCCAGCUGUUCAUGGAUCUUGGCAUGUGUGGAUGUGGUGGUCAACAGUGGCCUCUUACCAAGAGGCAACCUCAUCAUGCCCUGCCAGAUGGGUGGUGGUAAUUCCUUCUCAUCACAGGCCUCCCAAAGAGAGGGAGCAUUAACCCCUUGUGAACAGCAUUGGUCUGCAGCAGUCAAUGCAGUCACUUUCCUAAUAAUAAAAAAAAAAAAAAUCAAUGAUACAGGAAAAAAAGAAAUGUGAUGAUCUUUUGAUCCUUUGUUCUUAUUCAUUUCUCUGAAAGCCUUGGGCUCCUCAUACAUUGCCUGCCUGCUAAGAAAUGUUUGAUAAGACAUUUGUGUUGUUUUUCCCUCAGUCAGCAAACUGAUCCAGUCCAACAGAAAGGAUGGCAGCCAGUGGCUCAAUUGACCCCACACAGGUCACCCAGAAAGCAACUAAAAGACAGUCUUAGCCCCCAGAAGGCCAGCCCCAACUCUGAUGUUGGUCUCUGAAGCAACUAGGCAGAACAGAUGUUCCUCAAGCUGGUGUUGUACUGCGAGCAGACAAGAGGGCAUUGUGAAAAUCUGUUACUUGAAAAGAGUUGAAGCAGAUAGAUCUGAAGCUAAUAUGCAACACCCUGUGCUUGCAGAGAUGCCUGGCAUUUGAAGUGGGAAUCAUGCUAUGGGACAUGUCUGUGUCCUUUCCCAUGGAGGGUCCCAGAGGAACUUCCCAGGCCUCUUCAGACAACCCCUGUCUCUAGGACCCAGGAUGGACCUGCAGACCCCAGAGGGUGUGCUGCAUUGCAGCCAGUUUGGUUCCUACCAACAGAGAGCUGUCUUUGGGACAUCUUUUGACACUGACUCAUAGUCAAGGAGGAAGCAACAUGCAAGUCACCUGUCACACAAAGUGUCCCACUCACAGAUGUCAUGUGGCACCAGGCUCCUGUCCCAUGACACAUUCUGGGUGCAACAACAGCAUGGCAUGGCCACCUUUGCCACAAAACGCCUGGAUGCAUAGCUCAUGUGGCUGGUCCACCCCAUCACACAACACCUCAUGCAGGGAAGAGCAGUGGCACCAACUGUGGGUCCUGCAAAGUGUUCCAGGCCCUGCCAGCCAUUGGCCUGUCCUGUCUGCUCUCAUGGCAUAAAAGCCACUAAUGGUAUGAGCUGAGAGCUCUCAGGCUCGCCAGAUCUUCACUCUAAAGGCUUCACUGCUUGGUAACAGCUCAUAGAACCUGCUGCUUUGGUAACAUACUCUUCAUAUAAAACCUUGGUCCCUGAAGGAAGGCCAGUUGUGCAAAGGCCUUUGCAGUUCUGUGCUGACUGUUCACCUCUCUCUGUACCUACUUUUACAACAUUUCUAUGGCUUAAAGGGCUUAGAGGGACAUGGAUCUGACAAAGUAACCAACUCACUCUGGCCUCAGGGAAGUUACUUCACUCUUGUUAGGAGUUAGAUUUGUUUUUUUUUUUCUUCUCACAGAAUUUUUUCCCAUAAGUUUCCAAGAAGCCUCGAUGACUACUUAGUCAGAACAAAAAGGAGUACUUGAGAGAUAUGACAGCACGAAGCUACACCUAUUGUUUCUGAGUCCCUAGGAGUGUCCCUCAGAAGAGAGAGAUAAUGAGCUUUGGGAAAGGCAAAAAGACAGAUCUGGAGGAAGGGGAAGCACUCUUACUCUCAGCGCCGAGGAAGGCAGUCAGGCUGCCCCCUGCCUCUGCCUCGUGCUGAGAAAUCUACAGUCAUCUGCUCAUGUAGCCGGGAAUCCUGAGCUCGCUUUCUCCAGCCUCUCCCCCCACCGCCGCUGCUUCUUCAGAGCUUUGAGGUUCCCCUGCUACUCUGUAGCCCUGCACUGCCCAGCCCUGCCGGGACACCCCUGCUGCUCCAGCUGCCAGCGCAGAGCUCCUCAUCUCUUCCACCGGUCCGGGACUUUCCUUCCUUCCAGUUCGGCCUCUCGGAGCCCUGCAGGGGCGCCGAGAUCAAACUGCUCUGGGCUUUUGUAAAAGAAAGCCCUCGAGGUUCUUAGUUCUGUUUAUUAUUAAUGCUGUAGUUGUUGUUUGUUUGUCGUUUUGUCAUAUAUACUAGUAAAGAACUGUUAUUCCUACCCCCAUA